GUGUGAGGGUAAUGGCCGCCUCUAGUGCCCUUGCAGCUGGCUUAGGCCGCGUCGUGACCUUUGACGUGUGCUGCGGCCUGGAGAACCUGCCAGUGCCAGUCAUUAAUGGAGUGGAUGAUGAGGGCUUGCCUCCCCUGCAGGCAAUGUCUACUGUGAAAGAAGAGGUAACUACACAUGAAUUCCUGGACUGCACUACCCGAAAGGAAAGUGAAUACAACCUUCUUUCAGCUUAGAAGAAUGACGGAUGAUCUUAUUGGAGUGUAUAAGAUCCUAAGACCAUGACAAGUACACACCUGGAAAUGUAGCUGGACCAGGAGAAGACCUUGAUCCCACUGAAAUAAAUCUUCCAGGAUGUGACUGCUUAACCUCUUCCUCAAAGUUGAAGCCAUCCAUGGUCCAAAAACCAAAGAACCUCUGCCACGGAGAACCAAGAAAGGAGGUGAAUUUAUCGAGGACAGAGAGGCAGUCAAGGCCUAUAGGAAGAACCACAUUGAAGACCUCAUCAACUGCAAUACUGUAUUUAAUGCAUACAUGGUAUACAAAACAUAAUAGAAUCAAUGAAAGACUGCACCCAACAGGAUGGACAAACAACCAACGUGCAAAAGACAUCAGAAAAUGUAAAUACAAAGAAAAAAGACAAGAAACAUCAAGAACAUGAGAUGAAGAGUCCUUGAAGAGUGAGUACAUAAGUUGUGGGAACAGUUCAAUGAUGGGGCAAGUGAAGUUAUGCCCUCUAAUUCAAGAGCCUGAUGGUUGAGGGGUAAUAACUGUUCCUGAACCUGGUGGUGUGGGUCCUGAAGCUCCUGUACCUUCCUCCUGAUGGCAGUAGUGAGAAUUGAGCAUGACCUGAGCGGUGGAGGUCCUUGAUGAUGGGUGCUGUUUUUCUGCAUCAACACUCCAUGAAGAUGUGCUGAAUGAUGGGGAGGGCUUUACCUGUGAUGAACUGGGCUGUAUCUGCUACCUUUUGUAGGCUUUUCCAUUCAAGGGCAUUGGUGUUCUAUAACAGGCCAUGAUGCAACUAGUCAAGACAUUUUUCAUCACACGUCUACUGAAGACCGGAAUCAGGAGAAGAAGGCAGGAGAAUAGUGUUGAGAAGGAUAAUAAAUCAGCUGUGAUCGAAUGGUGGAUCAGACCAGAUGGGCCAAACAGCUUAAUUCUGCGCAAAUGUCUUUUGGUCUUAUAGAUCUGUGUGUGUGUGCGUGAGAGUAUAUAUGUUUAUGUGUGUGAGUGCAUCCAUGUAUGUGCUUAUUUGUACAUGUGAACAUAAAGAGCAGCCUUUUACACAAGUGUACGUGUGUGCAUGUGCAUGAGAUAAGGAGAGAGAGAGAGGACAGUCAAGGGUUACAAGAGUCAGCAGCUCUUCACUGAAUCAAUUUACCUUACCUUCACUGCCUCCAACCCAAUCUCACUUAUCCCUGCACCAAAAACCCUCAAACCCUUCCAGUGUCCUUGAUCAAAGUCUUUGAACAGCUCUCUGAUUUACACUGUCACCCCCUUUCCCCAUUCUUCUUUCUGACUCCUCCAUAAUGAUGUCAGUCCCUCUCAAAUUAGCUGCCACACCGCAGAGAUGGGUAUAAAAAUAAAAUGAACUCAAAAGCCCCUCCUGCUUAGUUGCUAAAUUAUCAAGCCAAAAUACAAGAGGCAGCAUUGGCUUUUAUGUGCUUCAGAAUCCCAAGAUAAUAUUAACGUGCAUGAACGCUGACUGUGCAUUUUGGCCAUUACCUGUUUCUCAUAGGCAAUGCUGUUAUUGUGUGGCAGAAAAUAAAAUAUCAGCUCUAUAUUUACAAAUUAAUAAUAACUGCAGCUGGAACCUGGGUAGGUGGGUGUGUGUAGAAAAUAUGCCACGGUACUUUCCACCUUCAGUUUACUGGUUUAAAAUAUGAAACAGGAUAGUCAGAGAGAGUGCUUUUAUAAUAUUCUCAUUCAUGUUUUUUAUAAAAAAUUUCAUUAGAAGUAUUUAACUAAAAUUCUCUCUUUAGCUUAGCAUUGCAUUUCACUCUGCCUUGAUUUUAUUGUCAAAAAGUGGUUGCCAAAUAUAUUAGCACACACACAAAAUCCUGGAGGAAUCAGCAGCUUCUUUGGAGAGGAGUACGAUGAGACCACUCUCAGGUUGCAGGAGCAACACCUCAUAUUCCGUCUGGGUAGCCUCCAACCUGAUAGUAUCAACAUCGAUUUCUCUAAUUUCCAGUAAUUUCUCCCCCUCCCCCUCUCUUUUUUUUCAUUCACCAU